AAAGGAACCCGCCACCGUUUGUUGAAUAGGGUUAUUCACCGUCUCCUCUAUAUUUAUAUAGGUGGGCAAACGCAUUUUUGUCUCAGUUCAAGUAUUUAGGUUUUGUUUUUGUUGUUGUUGGCUCAAUUUUACUCACGACAUGCUAACUGGCAACAUAGGAUUCCAUUCACUAUGCUAAGCUAAGCUAGCGGCGGCUAAGACAAUGCAUGCAC